rnacentral:lncRNA from 1 species
GGGAUCUUCCCGACCCAGGGACUGAACCCGGGUCUCCGCAUUGUAGGCAGACGCUUUAACCUCUGAGCCACCAGGGAAGCCCACAGGGUGAUACCUAAACUGUGAGUUAGAAGCAAAAGGAGCUCUGUGAGGAGGAAAGGGACAGGCAGCGGACGUGAUUAGAGACAAGACCGCGCCCCACCUCAGAGUUCCACAUCAGAGAAAGUCUCCUCUCCUGUUGUCCCAAGCAUCACCAGAAGAUGAGCUACUGCGGUUCUUCCUUUUAUACAUAAACAGAUGCAAAAAAACAUGAAGCGUUAACAAGCUAGGAUCUUGCUUAACUGAGUUUUAGCUGAGUAUACAGAUGGCACUGACAAUAAGAGUAAACAAUGGUACCAAGGAAACAUAAUCCUUGCAUGGGACUCUUGUUCAUUGAAUGGCUUUGGUCAGUGUCUGUAGAUAAAUCAAUAAUGAUUCUAGCUACCUCUGUCUCCAGCAGCUAAAUCAAUGCCCCUUCUUCAGGUCAAGGAGAUGUAGUAUUUCUGCACUACAUGGUAUCUGGGCAAAAUGUUUGGAUAUGUGUAGGAAUGCAGGUUGCAGCCUCCCUGGAAGGUUUCCAUGAAUCACAGUUAUCUAUUCCCACAGCUGGAGGGGACCACGUAAGUCUGCAACUGGCUUGGAGCAUGCAGCAGAGUCAUCGUCCGAGUGAAACUGAAUUUGGGGCAGUGCUCAGUGAGCCCUUGGAUUAAGAGACAACCAGAAGAAAACACGGGACAAAAAAGGAUUUUAGCUACUGUUUCAAACGCAUUUCUGGGGCUAGAGCCUGAAGAUAAAGAGACGUAAGUGACUUUCUCCCUCCAUGUUUAUGUAUAGUUCUAUAAUAGAAGUAUAAAUGAUCCUUUAUGUCCUGAAGCAAGACAAAAUAUAGAAGAUAAAAGGGCUAUACUGAAUAUAGUUUAUUAAGAAAGAGAAUUAUAAAAAUUUUGUUUUAGGAAGAUUUCAAUAAUUCCAAAUUUCAAUUUAUCUGCAUAUUUUGCUU